UAUUACUCCACAUCUCCUGCCUUUGCCCACCUGCAUUGUCUCUGUGCCUGAGCCCCGGCUGGUGGCCUGCAAGGAUCCCCUAUCUCCUCUGCCCCUGCACGGCUGGGUCCCAGGCAAUCUGUCCACCCACCACACCUCUCUCCCCUUGCCCACCACACUCCAGCCCCACAGUCCUCUUUCUGCUUCUUUCCCAGCCUCUGGGCUUUUACACACGCUGUUCUCUCUGCAUGAACACCCUCCAAUGGGCUGAGAACAACUCUCUGAGACCUCUCUCAGCUGUUGCUUCCUUUGGAACAGCCGCUGCUGCUGUCCCUCUCCCAGCUCCAAGACCUGCUGAGCCUCCUGUCUUUUUCAGUUCCCAUGCCCCCAGCACUUCUCCUUGGCCUCCUUUGGCCCAAUUGACAAUGUCCAUUCUCAAUGCCUUCUCACCCAGCGCUGAGCCCCACUGGGUGAAGGCAAUGCCUGUCAUGUUCACCACAAUAUCCCCUCCCCCAUCACCAUGACUGGUCCACAGUGAUGCUCAAAAAAGAUCUGUUGUUAGGCAAUGGGAAGGUGCAUUCAUGUCAUCCUGCAGGAGGAAUUCUCCACGAGUUUUGAGCAGCCUCGGUUUUCCCACCACCUCCAAAUCAUGCAAGACACAGGGUAAGAGCAAAGACAAGGUGGCUGUGGCCGAUGUCCACCCUCGCGGGGCGUCCCUUCUCUUCUCUCCUCCUUGGGCAGGGAGACCAUCGGGGUGCAACCUGGCUGGGGAGGGGAGGAGAUGCAGGGCCUGGCCAGCGCUGGCCUGGCCACGGGCAAGGGACAGCGACCUCCUGGGCCAAGACAGGUGAGCGCAGCGCAGGCCCGGGCCCAGCGUGUCCGCCGUGCGCAGGAGUGGCCAGCAGAGGGCACCAGAGAGCCAGGAGCCGCCCGCGGAGGAGCCGGCGCCGGCCCCAAUGCCCAGCUCCGCGCCGCGCGGACCCACCGAGCCCGCGCUCAGACGCCCCAACUCCGCCGAGAGGCCGCUCGCGCCGGGUCCUUCCUCUUCCCCAAGUGCAGGCAGAGCCACCGGAGCCAUGGCCAGCCCUUCUGGCAGCUCCGAAGCCACUGGCAAGCCCCGAGGCAGGGAUCACCGGCCCAGGAGGGAGGAGGACGACAUCCCUCCCGAAGAGAAGAGGCUGCGGCUGUUGCUGGAGGGGAGAAGCGCACAGCCCGAGGACUGCGAGGACGGGGAGGACGCGCCGCGGCCGGGCAGGGAGGAGACCGGCACCCAGACAGGUGGCGACGGCAGAGGAGUGGACUCUGCCAAAGACCAGGAUACCAGAAUGCAGUGGAGUGACCAAGUGUAGUGGGACCUUGGGAACGUGAUUCUGGAGCCAGGCGGCUGGGGUUCGCAUCCUGGUUCUGCCCCUCCUUAGCUGGCUGACAUGGCACAAGCCACUUACCCUCUCUGAGCCUUACUGUCUUCAGUGGCAAAUGGAUCUGUCAACAGGCCCCAUUGCCUGGGGUUGUUACUGCUGACAUUAAGGGAAGCUCGUCCAUAGAAGCACUUAGCCUUGUGCCUGGCACAUAGUGUAUGGUGGAUAAAUGGGACUUAGGACUAACACUCAUGUCUUGGUGUGUUUUUGCAGUGAUGUUUUGUUCUGGGGUGCAUCACAAGAGACAAGGUUCUUGACUGGGCAUGGUGGCUCAAGCCAAUAGUCCCAGCAGUUUGAGAGGCCGAAGGGGGAAGAUCUCUUGAGCCCAGGAGUUUAAGACCAACCUGGGAAACAAGGUGAAGCCUCAUAUCUAACCAAAAAAAAAAAAAAAAAAAAAAAAGACCAAGUAUGCUGAUGUGUGCCUCUAGUCCCAAGUACUUGGGAGGCUGAGGUGGGAGGAUUGCUAGAGCCUGGAAGGUCGGGCUGCAGUGAGCUGUGAUCAUGCCACUGCACUCCAGCCUGGGUGACAAGGUGAGACAGUUUCAAGGAAAAGAGAGAGAGAGAGACAGACAGACCCACAAGAGUCUUAAGCCAGAAUCUCCAUGUUAAAAUGCUUUCUGGAGGCUAAAAGGAUCAUAUGUUGAUAAUUAAAUGUUUAAAAGGCAGAAACCCCACUGAAUUAUUUGGUCCACAGAGGGAAAUGGGAAUCGCAUGAACUGAAGGAUGAUGGAGGAACUAAACAGAAACCAUCCUUGUUUCCUGAAUCUGAACAUGGCACCCUCUUUUCACGGUCUCUGUAUCUGCUCAGUCUGGCGGCCCCUCGAAAAGAGGGAAUCUUGAUUUUCAAACUUAAAAUUUGGCCCAAAGCCCACUGCUGCCUACAAUGCCCACCAGACCCAUUCCUAUUCCCUUUUAGUUUCUAUGGGAAUACUCUCUUUGAAGAACCCAUGAAGCAGUGUCAGGCUGGUGUGAGGAUCAGCAGUGAUUUCUUUGAGGAGGAGAGCCCGUUUCUUCACUCACAGGCCAUGUCUGAGUGGAUCAAGAAGAACAGAGCGCCCUUUUAUGAGAUUUUGUCUGCGUAGACCAUUAGCUUGGUAAAAAUGUCAAAACCAUCCUCUUUCUUUAAUAGCAGAUUAUUUUGGACUUUUCUCUGCAAGAAGCAGCAUGGGCAUUCAGAUGCUUUUAAGGAUAAAAUGUUCUUUCUCAUCACCAGGCCUGGUGCUCUGGAUGGCUGAGGUUUUAAUGUGAUUGGAUGUCCCUUGGAGUGGCUCCCAGGCUGUGAUCUCGUGGUUGGGUGGCAAGUGGUUGCUUUAUUCGGUGGUGGCUAGAGGAUGUUUUAGCAGAUAAAUCAGGAUCCCAGGAGCCCCUGAGUGUCAAGUCCUGCUGCAGGGCAUGUGUUUAUGGUGGCGAUGUGGGUGGGUGGAGGGUGGGGAGCAUUGAUUUCCUGCCAAUAUCAGAAGUUUCACAGGCUUCUUGUGUAUCCACAAACACCCAACCCAUUGAGAAGGCCUAGAAAACCUGCCCCUCCCCAAGCCUUUAUUGACAGCUUGUGAAUAAUCCCAGGGUGUGUCUGACCCACAGCUCUUCCUGGAGGGAGAGAAAAGUCUCUCCUAGGUAUUUGAUUGUCAACCUCAACCACUUGCUGAGCCUUCCCCAAGACCAGGCACCUUGGCAGAGAUAUCUGGAUUGUCAGGCAGAACCGAGCAUUCAAGGGUAAUAACUCACUGGAGUCCCUGAAAUCCCUGAUGGGCGCACCAGAUAAAAGCAUCCAGGGUUGAAACCAGAUCAGGAAGGUUAUUGUCAGCCUGGGGCUCCUGUAGAGGUGCAUCCACGUUGCAGGGAUUUUCCUUCUUGCUGAGGAGAAACCUGGGUUUCUCAGCUUUGGCACAGUCACAACAUUUGGGGUCAGACCAUUCGUGGUGGUGGUGCGGGGGCUGUCCUGUGUAUUGUAGGAUGGUUAGCAGCAUCUGUGGUCUCCAUCCUCUAGGUACCAUUCUAUCCUCCCAGCUAUGGCUACCACAGAUGUCUCCAGAUGGUUUCAAGUGCUGUGGGGCAAGGGAGUGGUAUGUGAACAAAACCACCCCAGUUGAGAGCCAUUGGUCUACACUUGUGGAAAUGUUUGAGGGUGACAGUGUCGAGCUUGGGUCCCUGCUGUACCCUUUAUGAGCAAUGCGGUCUUGGAAAAUUAAUACUACCCCAGGGGCCUCAGUUUUCUCUUCUAUAAAAUGGAAAUAAAUGAGAUACACUUUCAUAAGAAGGUUAUAUGGGAUUUUCUGAGAUAAUAAGACAGUACAUGGAAAAUACUGGGCAUAGCAUUUAUUUAUUUUAAUUUCUUUUUAAGACAGAGUCUUACUCUGUUGCCCAGGCAGGAGUGCAGCGGCAUGAUCUCCGCUCACUGCAACCUCCACCUCCUGGGCUCAAGUGAUUCUCCUGCCUCAGGCUCCCGAGUAACUGGGACUACAGGCGUGCGCCAUCAUGCCCAGCUAAUUUUUGAAUUUUUAGGAGAGACGGGGCUUCACCAUGUUGGGCAGGAUAGUGCCAUCUCUUAACCUCGUUAUCUGCCCUCCUCGGCCUUCCCAUGUUCUGUGAUUACAGGCGUGAGCCACCGUGCCUGGCCAAACAUAAACUUACUUUCUUACCUCUUCUGCUGAACUCUAUUUGCUUCUUAUCCCAAAUGUCUUUAUCCAGAAGAGCUUUUAGCAACAAAGUUACCCAAUGCCCUUCCGUAGUCUCUCCAUGCAACUGGCUCUCAGCAGGCGGGGGAGGAAAUCCUUGACAGAACCAAUUUACAUGACUGUUUGGAGGACUCUGGCUAGCCCCAGGAGGUGUUUACAUUUUUAAAUUGGUUACUAGUGUCAGAAUGUUUCAUGAGUAAGAGCCCAGCCUCUAUGUUGGAUGCCCUGAAUUUGAAUCUCAGCAUUGCCGCUUUGUAUAUAACCAGAGGAUGGAUUUGGGGACCCAAUGGAUCUACCAUGACAUGAACUUGCACCAACAUUCACCUGAUCUCCAAAAUGCCUAUUCUGACUGGUAGACCCUAGUCUCAGCCAAGUGCCAGUUCAGAGCCUGUCUCCAGUGAUCCUGAAGAGGUCUCAUUAGUUCCUUUUCUCCUGUUCAGUCAUCCUGGUAAUAGGCUGUGUAUUCCCUUGGGGGCAGGCUGGGAGAAAGAUUGACAGUAUAAAUUUUUGGCAGUGGAGCAGAGUCCUUUCUGGAGGGGACCUGGCUUCCCAUUCAGACAAGGGACUCCGGGUCUGUGAACUGGCUUAUGUCUGGAAAUUGAUGGGGGACUGUGACUGUUUUUAUGAUUCAGAUUAGACUUCUGCUCACCUCACCUAGAACUCUUCUGCAAACACAGAUCCAGUAAAAAUGUGGCAGGCUUCUUAUCUAUUUCACCUCUAGGAAUGCCACGAUCAGCUGGCACCAUAGGUCUCUGUGAGUUAGGCUAUUCUGGUUGCAGCUUUGACUCUGCUGUCUUUUAUGGUAACUGCAUCCACCUUGCCUUUGGGGAUUGAGUGCUCUGAUCACUUGGCCCCAGCCACUGUAGUGUGCCUAUGUCACUUACCCUCUUUAUAACUCAGUCUCUUCCUCUGUAAAAUGGGCAUCCUCAUUGCACCAACCCCCAGGGCUGCUGUGAGCUAUAGAUGGAUUAGCAUAUGGCAAGUAAUAGAAGAGGGUCUCAAAGUCCAUGUGUCUUUAUCAGAAUUAUUUCAUGAUGGGGAGAGCUGGAGGAGAGAAGAAGGUGCUAAGCAGACCCAUGUGCUCUCCCACCAGUGUUUCCUGAGCACCUACUAUGUGCUGCCCACUGUGAGAGCUGUUAGGGUUGAAAUAGGGAGCACAGCAGGGUAGGGGCUGCCAUCAGGAGCUUAGUGGGGAGACCAUUGUGCAACAUGGUUCCAGCACUUGGGGUGGGGAAGCUCAGGGAGUACAGGGGCCUAGGAUCCUGGGCAGAAUCAUGGAAAGGACACAGCCUCCCCAGCCUCUCCUGCCUCCACUGCCUCCCUGGCCUCCUCUGCUUCUGUGGCCUCUCCUGCCUUCCUGGCUUCCCCUCCCACCCCAGCCUCCUUAGUCUCCCCUGUCUCUCCUUCUUUUCAGGUGGGCCAGGAGCUGUUGGUGCUCACUUAGCCUGUCCUGGACUCUGG
ensembl:lincRNA